rnacentral:lncRNA from 1 species
CAAAAUUCCCAAACAGACCACAGAAUACUGAAUGUGAAAAUGAAGUGAUUACACAACUACAACCCAGCAGUGCUACAGACGUUGGUUCUCUGUAAAGGAGUGAUCUAAGCUUGGAGGAACCUUAAUAAUUUUGAUGCUGACUUCAUAUCCUGCACCCAUGGUGUACCUUCUCCUCCUGAAAAUACCACAAUACAUAGGGCAAGGACCAUAUGUGUUCACUAUCGGCAACUAGCCCAGCAGCACACAGAAGCUGAAUGAACUCUGGUUGAAUAAAUGAAUGAGAAGUAAGGUAUGUAUUUAAAGA